GCUGUGCUCAGCCGGGAGCAGAGCGGACAGCGCCAGCCUGAGCGGAGCACCGUGCGUCCCCACCCGCCGGGCCAGGUACCGCUGGGGGCGCCGACCCCCAGUCCAGGGCACCGGGCGGGCAGAGCUCUACUGUGCACCCUCCCGUCCGUAGCUGGGCUCUGGGCAGCGCCUGUUACCCGUCCCGUCCCGGGCAGACACCCCAGCCUCCCGCGAGCCAGAACCCCGCGCGCUCUGGGCUCAGUCCGGGGACUCGCCACUCAGGGGUCAGUUCUGAGCUUGAACUGGUAUCCUGGGAAAGGCAUUUCGCCGCCUCAGGGCCUGUCGGCAGGGCCAGGAGGGACAGCAGGAGGUCAGCAGCACUCGGGGCUGGGGCCACAGGACGCCUUGUUGGGGGCUCGGGCGGUGAGCGAUGGGCUUCCCGAGGCAGGGCCCACGGGGACUAGCUAGAGAGGGUCCCGGAGGGGGGCCUAAAAGGGCCCGGGAGCGGGCUCUGGAGCGCUGCCCCGACGGGCGCCUGACAGGCAAAUCUGCCCGGCUGGCACACCGGGAGUCUGGGUAUAUUUAUCCCGGCUGCGUUGGGCAGGGGCUUGAGGGCAGAUCGGGCCAGGCUGCCUGAGGGGCCGUGGGGCACAUGUUGGUCCCAGAGUCCGUGCCAUUUGCAGCCGGGCCAGCGGGCACGGCAGGAACAGGGCGCGUGUGGCUCCCUGGCCUGAGGGCGGGGCUCUGUGUGCUCUCCUUGCUGCCUCAUUCCCCGGUGGGGGUAUAAGAGCUGGCGCCGCGCACGCGGGCGGAGGGAAAGGACCAAAACCGGGUUUGCAGGAGCCCGCCCCCGUUCCAUUGGCCCCUUCGAUUGGCCACAGCGAAUGCGUGCGUUUGUUUACACCCGGGGAGGGGGAGGCCAGGGGCGGGGCCUGUGGGAAUCCGCCCUCUCCCCCCAGGGUGACCUGAGCGCUGAGCUCAGGUGUAAGCUCUAGGACAAGUCUGAAAGGGACUAAGUCAAAGGUCCUUGCACCUUGCACCCUGGGGGACUCCUGGACCCAGGCCCAUCCUUCCUUCAGUCGCCCAGUCCUGUCCUUUCUUCCAUGACUUCCUUGGGCCACUGUUCUGGAAGAGGCCUUUGGACCUUCCACCCCUUCCUCUUCAGUAAACAGUUGCAUGGGAGUUCAGUUCCUUCAAGAAAGGAAGAAAACUCUUCAGAGCUUUUCAGUCUGGAGCCUAGAAAGCUGAAGAGAUCUGGGGACAGUUCCAUUUUGAGAUGGGGAAGUUCUGCACAACCAUGGAAGUCUUCCUGCAGGAAGCACUAGAUGUAGGAGGAAUCAGGGUGGGUGAGGCCAGGCGUGGCACAUCUCCAAGAGGGCUGGAAUGACUGGAAUCAUUCCAUGAGAGUCUCUGACCCUUUGGGGUUGGGGACAGGGGACUGGUUCUCUGGGGAGGGGAGGGGUAUAUGUCUCAGAACCUCACUCUGCCUGAGCUCAUAGAGGCCAUGUCCUCACUGGCUUCUCAAACCACUCUUUCUUCAGUACUGGUUCUUUUGGCCCUCAUCACAACCUCACCACACACACCCAGUCCAGGGCUCAAGGUGGCCAGACCAUGAGAAUCAGUUGCUCCUGUCCUGGUGCCUGCUGCCCUAGCAAGUAGCCAUGGAACCUUGGGCAAAUAGAGAAAAUGAGGCACAACAGGUCUCUGGGUAGUGUCGGGGAAGGUUUUUGAGCUAAACUAAGUGUACCCUGAAAGUCCAGGCUGGGUGUGGAACAAACAGGCACUCAUUCUAAGGGGAAAGCAUGUUUUAGGGGAGUGGUUGGCUGCAAGGGAGGUACAGUUUGGUAUCUGUGUGCACAGAAAGCCUGUGUGGGAUGUGUAUACUAUGCUGUAGUAAGAUAGGAGCUCUGCAGGCACAUGAUCUAGUUCAGACAUGACCAGGGUCCAGGGGCCACUUGGAGCUGGGUUGAGAUGGGUUGGGGGCUUGCCAAGGGCCUUGAACCCAUUCUAUUCCUUUUACAACAUUUGCUGAGCACCUACUAUGUGCCCUGCAAACAUUCAGUCUGGUGAGUGGAGGGCUGGCCUUUGACUCUGGAUAAGAAGACAGAUGCGGUGGUGGGGUGGGGAGGACUCUAGAAGACCAGGCGGGGCUUCUGGGGGCCAAAGGGAAGGACCAGCUGCUGGGGCAGGAGGGGCUUUCCGGUCAGCGGCCUGGGGUGGCUUGGUUUUGAAUUUCCGCUCUGCGGGCCACGUCCUGUACACAGCCUCUCAGCCGGCACGUCUGCACACGUGCAUGACUGCUGAGAAUGGGGGUCACCAUCACCUCUGUGUAUCUUUUCCAUUGUGUGGGUAGACAGUGCUGGACUGGGGAGUGGUGAGCUUUCCAGCUGGGCCUGGACCUGCAGCCCUAGUGGGCUCAGACCCGCUGUCUGGAUGUCCCUGCACCUAGCUAAUGGAGGCAUAACCUGCUCUUGUAGGAACCUGCAGAUGCUGGGCAGCCUUCUUGUGGGGUCCUCCAGGGUUCUGCCUGGCCAUCCCUGAAGUGCCCACUGGGCCUGCAGCCCACUCGCCUGGGCCUCUGGCUCCCUCUUCCCUCUCACUCCUUCUGGGGUCCUCUCUGUCUUUCGUUGGCUGUCUCCCUGUCUCUCUGUCUCUUUUUCCAUUUAGCUAUCUCUGGCUGGUUGGCCAUCGCUGUCUCUCAGCUCUCUGGUUGUCUGUCUCUCUCUGUCUCCCUGUCUGAAUGUGUAUCCACCUUCUUCUGUGUGUAUUUUCCUGUUGGUGUACCUUUAUAUCCAUCUGCAUUUCUCUAUCUCCCUGUGCCUCUCUGUCUCUUUUUCUGUCCAGAUCAGUAUUCAUGCACUGCAUGUAUGUGUUUUCUGCCCUUCCUCUUUCCUUGCCCCUCUCUUCCCUCCCUCUGCCGCUCUGCUUCUGCCUGACAUUGAAUGGUGCCUCUCCUCCAGGCCAACCUUGCCUUUAGCCCCUCCCCCCUUCCACUGGGGUCUCCAAUGAGUCCUGAGCUGCCCCAGGCCCCUGCUCCAGCUUUCCUUGGGGCCAGAAGUCCGGCUGUCCAAAUAUUUGGCCGCCUCCAGGGGAUUCCGGGUCAGCAGGGAGGAGGAUGGGCUGGCUGGCUCGGGGUCUCCCCUGCCCCUGGGGGGCCACAGGCACGUGAUGUCCUGUCCUUUGCCUUGGCUGGGCCUCCAGCUGCACGUCCCUCUCAGCGGGCUGGCAAUGGGGGGAGGGGGCUGCUGCUGGCUCUGGCCCAGUCUUGACCAAGAGGUUCCAGCUGCAGCCUCCACUGGGGGAGCAAGGAGGGUCCUGGGCUGGGUGGGAGGGGAGGCCUAGGGGUCUGGGGCAAGGUCCAACUCCAGGCAUCUGUUGGGUGUCUAGCAAAUGUACCCUGUCACAGGAAAGUCCAACUUCCGGCCCCAGCUGGGCCCCUCAGAUCCUCCUAGACACUUCCGGAUGCCCAGAACACAGAAGCACAGACCCCACACACCAGGGCCAAGGAGCUAAACUAUGAGGGAUCGGUGUUGCCAACACAUCAAUGUUCUGGGCCAUCUUCCUUUCCUUGGAUGUGCCCUCUCCUCCAUACCACCCCCCUCAGUACCAGCCAGGUGUUGACCUUGCAGUGGCCAUUUGCCCAGUGUUGUUGAUGAUGAAGGAGCAGUGGAAGGGGUACUGGAUCUACCGAGGUCAAAAUCUGGAGUUGUGCGUCUGGAGGAAGAGCUAGGGGUGCACAGGGCUGUAGUAUUCUCCCCUGUUCAGAACACCCUUCCAUAUGCCCUAGCCCUAGCCCCCUGACCUCAGCAAUGAUCUCCUCACCAAUCCCUGGGGCUGUGCCUUGAGAACAUAUAAUUCAGACAUGUCCAUUGAAUCUAGUUUCCUUGUUGACUGACAGCUUGUCCUAAGAUGAUGUUCUCCUUCUGAAGCCUGGAGAAGAAGGUGGGCAGGGAGUGCCAAGAUAGGAGGGGCACCUUGUCUCAGCCAGGAGGGGACUAAGGAUGGCUGAGCUGGAACUGAGAGCAGCCUUCAUCCCUGAGCCUCCAGGGAUAACCACAACAGACCCUCAGGCCAGACCAGCUGCCUCUCCCCUGAGAUCUGGGCUGAGGCUAGGACUUCCCAGGCACCAGAAGCCUGGGGACCAUGGCAACAAGUUCUAUGGGGUCUGUGCCUCGAUCAGCACAGACGGCCAGGAAGGACUGAGGGAAGAACAGUGUGGAUGCCUCCCUGUAGCCAGCCUGACACUGCAGACCCAUUUAUGUCCCUGAGCAUUAGGGAGGAAAGCAGGGCUCAAGUCCCUGGUGGUUCCAAGGACCUCAAUCCUGGGACAGAGAGGUAUGUGUCCUACAGCAGCUGAUGCAAGCAGUGGGCCUGUGGUGGCCUGGAUUCCUGGGCCUCGAAAUCUUUAAUUAGCCAAACUCAACACCUGCCAAGGUGUGCCUGACAAGUUCUCACCCUGUGAUGCCCGCGUGGGCGAGCGUUACCUACUGCACUAUCCCUGUGGCUCCUGGCCUCUCCUAGCCCUUAUCUCCCAGCAGAGCAAACAGGGCCCAGGGCAGUGGCCCAGGCCAUCGAUUUCCUGCCCAAGUCCAUUCUGCACCCAUGACCGAUGCUAUUCUGAUGAUCUGCCCAAGGUCGCAGUGACAGCCCCACACUAGAACCUGACCCCUCUCUGGAAGCCCAUGGCAUGGUCUGGGACAAAGGCCUUGGAGAGGAUCCUCACUCUGUCCCCAGCUUUGCCAAACUUCUGGGGACCUCUGCAGGGCAGGAGGACACUGAGGUCCUGAGUGGGGAAUACUCUACCCGUGGUCACACAGUAAGGCAGGGCCAGGCCAGGACUCAGACUCCGAAUGUCCACUGUGGACUUUCUCAACAGUGGGUCAGAUUCUGCUGGCAGAUUUCCCUGAGUCCACCCUGACUCCCUGAUACAAAGGAGCCUGGGAGGUGGUAGGCCUGAGGGAUGGGAACUGUCAGAAAUGGGCUGCCAGCCUCAGGGAAUGGCUGAGAGUCCACAUGCCAGGCUAGCACUCCACUCUGGCUGCUUAGCCCUUAGCCCUGCCCUACACUGAAGUACAGACUCAUUGACCUGGCCUUCAAGGCUUUGUCAGGUUUGUCUAUAGCCAUGGAACCUUCAUUCUGCCUCAUACCACACCUUAGAGCCUUUGCCCAUGCUGUGCCCUCUGCUUAAGGCAUUCUUUGCUAUUCCACACUUUUGGGACUCCUGGAAUUUCAGAAAUGGCUCCAUCACCUCCUCUGCCAGGAAGCCUUCCUUGAUGCCUCUCUCCCCCCUUUUUUGAGUCCCAGCACUAUGUGGCUCAUAUUUAGUUGUUGCAGGAACUAUAAGGUGGGGGCUAUGUUUGGGGAUUUUGUCCCUUCCAGACCAGAAGCCAUUUAGGGAAGGAUAUUCCAUGUCCUCUCUGGGACCUCAAACCAGCCCAAGAUCCAGCAGUGACUGGUUUUGAGUAUCAGACAGGCUGUGAAGGUCUAGGUGUAGGUCCUGCUGGGGGGAUGGGGAACCUGGAUACAGGAACUCGGGCACUUUGGCCAUGACCAUGCCGUGGGCUGUGGUCUCCCUGGAGGUAGUGCUGGCUGCUAGGGAAGGAUAUUAAGGCAGAGAAGGGUGCUUUGUCCAAGCUGCCAACUCAGCACACUCUGAGGGCCUGUCCCAGCCUGCCCAGGGUGGGAGGCCCGAAAAGGACAACCCUAGCUGAGAGCCAGGGGGCACUCUGGAGUGACUCUGGAGAUGAGGUGCUGGCAUCUCCACAUCCAGCUGGGAUCCUUGGAGAGGUGCUGAUAGUGAGGCUUAGGGCAGAGACUCAUCCAGGGGAAGAGGGCACGAGAGAUGUUCACAUUGUCAUGGACCUGAAUGGACAGGGCUGGAGGUGAGAUGGGUUCAGAUGCCAGCAUCAGAAGAAAGAGAGGCAGGCCGAGGGGGCCCGAGGGUUCCAAGUGUGGAGUCUCCAGGACCGAGGUUCCUGGGAUCUGAACUCUGGCCUGGGGCUGCCUGGGGCAAUGGUGGGCUGGUCCUUUAGUCAGUUCUGUGUGGCUGCUGCCUCCAGGACACUGGGGCCUGAGGCCUGAACCCAGCCUUCUGUCCCCACACAUAGCCCCAAGUGCUAAGAACACUGGUGUUCUGGGUUCUAAGUAGACCUGAGACCAUCAGGAUCCGGAGUGGGGAUGGGGGGUUCAGGGCGGGAUUCAGGAUUCCCAAGCAGAGAGCUUGUCAUGGCACCAAGCCUAGGCUCCGAUAGGGACACCUGGCUGGCUCAGUCAGUAGAGCAGGUCACUCUUGAUCUCAGAGUUGUAUGUUUGAGCCCCAUGUUGAGUGUAGUGAUUACUUAAAAUUAAAAUCUUUUUUUUUAAAUUAAAAUCUUAAAAAAACAAAACAAAAAACAGGCUAGGCUGUGGCUGACCUGCAUGGCAGUGCUGCCCCCUCCCUGGUCUCGACUAGAGUCUUAGCUCUCCUUCUGGCCUCUCUGGCCUUCAGGAUGUCCUUAUAGAUCCUGGGGCACUGUGCCAGGUACCUUCUGGGCAUGGGGUAGGUGGCUUCCAGCCCCAGUGAUUGGGGGGGGGGAGCUGGCUCCUUAGAGGCCCAGCAGAGCCAUGCCCUGAGGGCAGGAAAGGGAGGACUGAUCCAGUGGCCUAGACUCCUCUACAGCUGCCUAAGACCCUGAGUUCCUGGCCUGGGGUUCUAGGAAAUGGAGAAUCUGCUCCAAUGGUCCACUACUGGAGGGUGGUCACCUAAGGGGUAGGGGUAUUCCCCCUAGCCCCUAGCAGGGGAAGAGAAGCUUGAAGGAGAACAUGGCCCUGAGGUCAUGGCUGUGUGGAGAGUGAGGCCUGUGUGGCUCAGAGAAUUCGGCCCUGGGACGCUCGUUUCCUGGAUGGCCCCCUGAGGGCCCUUUGCAGCCAGGCGGGCAGGGCCCAGGUGUCCAGCCACCCAGCACCGCCUCAGGCCUCCUGGCUCCGGGGGGGUAGCCUUUGCGCCUGCCGUUCCCAGCGCCAGCUCUCAGACCACAGAAGGCCCUUUGUUCUGGCUGCCAGCAGUGCCCGCCGGGCGGCUGGGAACAGGGCCCACAGCCCUCACCCUCUCCCAAGGCCUCCAGCCGUCGGGCAGUGCCAUUCUAGGUUGGCUAGGAGGCCCCUGGCACACAGGGCCGGCACAGGAAACCGUCUCCCGGUGUUAAUGUCAGGGAGGGGGUGUCAAUCCAGGGCCCACCACCAGCGCGGGGUCUGGAUUCCUGGGACUCAGCAUCCUGGGGUCCAGGCACCACUGGACUCUGAACUCAGGUCAUCCAGCUGAUCCUCACUUCGCAGAUGGAGAAACUGAGGUCCCAAGGGCUUGCCUGGACUGGUAUGUGAGUGGUGGGGGGAGUGCUACGUACUGGCCAAGGUGUCCCAUCAGGAUGUCUUGGAGAACUCAGGUAUCUGAGCUCUACUCCCCCAAAAGCAGGUCCCGGGGAGGCAGCAGGCACAGCUGCAUGUGCACAUAAAUCCUGAGUGAGCUUCUGGGAGGUGUGAUAGGCUGUAGACUCCCCAUGGGAGGCUGGGCCAUGGGUCCUGGGAGAAGGGAUAACCAGAGGGACCAUUGCUCUGCAGACCUUUGACUUGUGUUGGUGUGAGAGUCAGUGCUCCGGGUGGCAGACCCUGACCAUGGAGGCACCUCUGCAGACGGAAAUGGUGGAGCUGGUGCCCAACGGCAAACACUCAGAGGGGCUGCUCCCAGUCACCACCCCCACGGCUGUCAACCAGAGGUGAGCAGAGGGACCCAGUCGUGGUCAGGGCAGGGCAGGGUGCAGAGCAAGGGCCGGAGCUGAGCUGACUGCUCUGGCCUGUGCCUACAGGGUCGAAGGCCCCAGACGGAGCUGUGUUGAGGGCGAGGGCUUCCUACAGAAAAACCCCAGCAAGGAGCCACACUUCACAGACGUGAGCUGGAGGGCACAGUGGGGUGGGGGGCUUGGGAGAUUUCACGCAGUAACAAAGAGCUCUGGGGCAGCAACGGGAGGUUAAGGGACAGUGAGGGGGAAUGUUGGGAUACCCUCCAUGCGUCGCUGUCUCUCCCCCCUGCCCCCAUCUCACUCUGGUGCCUGCAGUUUGUGGGGAAGACUUCAUUUGGGAUGUCAGUGUUCAACCUCAGCAACGCCAUCAUGGGCAGUGGCAUCCUGGGACUCGCCUAUGCCAUGGCCAACACAGGCAUCGUCCUUUUCCUGUGAGUGCCUUCAGUGAACCCUCUAAAGACAGGAGCUCUAAACAGUCCACCAACCAUGACCUCCCAGGACCCAGGCUGUGGGUGGGCUCAACCCAAACCAUGGCUAAAAAAACCAGCCAUGGCCAGACAAAUAUCCCUCAUUUCCUGGUAAACCCACUGAGAUUAUGACACAGGCAAGCCUAACAGACCUGAAUCUAUACUUCUACCACCGUUUACACAUGAUGAACGAAGCCCCAUGGCCAGGCCUUGUGUGGACACACGUGUCCUUACUUGGGACCUCUGCCCUGCAGUCUAAAUGGAAAGCAUGUUUGUUCCAAGAACUCAAGGAGGUAGUGCUCAGAGGACCCCUUCUAGGUCAUGGCUUACCCUGGGUCAAACUGAGCGGUGUUCGCCCCUGCCGGGGCCAGUUGAGCUUGCAUCCACACCUGUUGGGGGCUCCAAACACCUGGGUCACAGACCCACACACCCAGGCCUCCCAGAGCUCACCACCCCUGCCAGCCAGUGAAGCCCUCAGUGGCUCCUUUUCACCCAUCUUCCCCAGGUUCCUGUUGACAGCCGUCGCCCUGCUCUCCAGCUACUCCAUCCACCUGCUACUCAAGUCCUCAGGGAUCGUGGGUGAGCCCCCAACCCAGCCUGGAGCAGGGGAGGGCUGGGCUGGGGAGAGCACUCCUGACUAUUUUGACUCCUGUCCCCACAGGUAUCCGUGCCUAUGAGCAGCUAGGCUACCGUGCCUUUGGGACCCCAGGAAAGCUGGCAGCGGCCCUGGCCAUCACACUGCAGAAUAUUGGAGGUGAGCCUGGCAGGCAGACCCAGACAGGUGGUGGGCAGGUGGGCGGGCUGAAGACUGGCUGGUUUGGCUGACCCCAGCACCUGCCCGCCUCUCUCCCCCCAGCCAUGUCCAGCUACCUGUACAUCAUCAAGUCCGAGCUGCCCCUUGUCAUACAGACCUUCCUGAACCUGGAGGAGCAAACUUCGUGAGCCCCAGGGUGGGGCGGGGCUGGGUGAGGGUAGGAGGGAGGCCUUGGUCUACCCCUCCAUAUGCACCACUGGCCCUGGGAACCCAGGCUGGGCUAGUGGGAGAGAUGAGACAGUGCCUGCAAGUGACUGGUGGAGGGGCAGAGAGCUGCCAACAGAGCUAACAUUCAGUCUACACUCCUUUAGCACCUAGGGGAACCCCCUAGGAGGGCCAGAUGAGGUGAGAGGUGGGGUGAGGCUGAGGAACCUGGGCCCCACCUGGGCCAGGACACAGCCUAUGAGAAAAGGAGAACCUGAGAGCUUCGGGCUUAGCUCUAAGCACCUGCUAUUCCUGACCAGGGCUUGGGCUUUAGCGCCUGCCACCCCCUCCCCCCUCCCCGCCUUCCCCCCCCUCUCCCCCCCCCUCCCCCCCCCCCCCCCCCCGCCCAACCAAGAAAUUAAGCCCGUGGUGUCCCAGUUGCUCUCAUCAGUUUAGCCAGCACUGAUGGAAUCAACCAUGUUUUGUGGGUGGGGACAGAGAAGACAGCCAUGCCCUGCCCUUGGCCACGCAGCCCAGGCAAGCAGAGGGGGUUUGAAGUUGAGAGCAGCUCUGGGAGGAGGAAAACAGCCAGGAUUCUUCCCCCUGAGUCCUGGGUGCCCUUCCCAAGGAGUUGGCCUUUGGGCUUCCCUGGGAAGGAGGGUCUCCUUCCUUAUCCUUUGAGUUCUCUGCGCCAUUGGUGGUGGGGGGUGCAGGAUGGUGCAGGAUGCAGAUGCCAGGAGGGACCACAAGGGGUACAGGAUGUUGGAAAGUCCCUGACACCCCCAUGGAAAAUGCUCCACCUCCCCAGAGCCAGGGUCUUUCAUCCCACCCACCUCCCUGGGCCCCUUGGGGCCACCCCCUGGGGAAGCUGGACCCAGACCUGUGUGUCUUGAGAAAAACAGCAGCAGUGACUAUAGCCCUAAUGGCUACCAAGCAGGAGCUGAGCUCCUUAGUUCUCCCCUCGCCUAGGCCAGUGCUGAGAGAAUGUCCAUUUUGCAGACUCCGAGCUAUGAACAAGUAUUUUUUAGGUGGCCCCGAUUAGGUAUGGAGGCAGGCGGCCUCACCCAAGGCUGAGUGGACUCUGAUGUUGGCUCCCCACUCCUAUUCCUGCAGGGACUGGUACAUGAAUGGGAACUACCUGGUGAUCCUUGUUUCUGUCAUCGUCAUUCUGCCCCUGGCACUGAUGCGGCAGCUUGGUGAGUGUGGCAGGGCUAGGGCCUUGGAGGGGAAUGUUGGAGAAAUGCCUGGGAAGGGACCCCAGUCUCACAGCCCUUCCCCCACGUUGCAGGCUACCUGGGUUACUCCAGCGGCUUCUCUCUCAGCUGCAUGGUGUUCUUCCUAAUUGCAGUGAGUCACUUUCUGUGCUGGUGGAGUGAGGGGACAAGUCUCUUGGGGGGCUCCUCUGUCGGGGCAGGGGGCAGGUCUUUCUGGGAAGCCUGGGUCAGAAGGCAGCUCCUUCUGUCCUGAUCUAGAUGUGUUUUCAUAGUGACUCCCAGGCAAGCCUUGUCUGGCCCUGAUACCCCCAUCUUCCCUGCAACUCAGGUCAUCUACAAAAAGUUCCAUGUGCCCUGCCCUCUGCCCCUCAACCUCGCCAACAUCACGGGCAACGUCAGCCUCAUGGAGGUCACCAAGGAGGAGGCUCAGCUGCAGGCUGAAACAGAGGCCGCAGCCUUCUGCACCCCGAGUUACUUCACACUCAACUCACAGGUUCCAACAGGCCGGGGCAGGGGCUAUGGGCCGGGUGAGAGUGAAGGGCUGCCCUGACGCAGUCACCAUGUCUAUCUAGACAGCAUAUACCAUCCCCAUCAUGGCCUUCGCCUUCGUCUGCCAUCCCGAGGUGCUGCCCAUCUAUACGGAGCUCAAGGAGUAGGUGUCUAUGGUUGCAAGGGGGGUGGCUGCCUUAAACUGGUUUGGGGAGAAGGAACGUGGUCCUGAUAGGGUGGGGGCAGGGCGGGGUGGGGAGUGACAGGAGCCAAGUCACUUUAUCAAAGAUCUCCAUGGCUUCCAUGAGGGGCGACUGGGGGCAAGGAGGAGAUGUCCUCAGCUGCCAAAUGGUGAGGGUGUGGUGCCAGAGAGGCCCCAGGGCAUACGGGGAUCUCCGGUGUGGCCCAGCUUGGCACCCAUCCCCUCCCCUGCUUCCCCAAAGCCCCUCCAAGAGGAAGAUGCAGCACAUCUCCAACCUGUCCAUCGCCGUCAUGUAUGUCAUGUACUUCCUGGCUGCCCUCUUCGGCUACCUCACCUUCUACGGUAUGGCUGGACCGUGGGGGCAGAGGCAGAGGCCAGGCUGGGGGGCAAGGGGCUGGCCAGUGGCCAUGGCACCCUGCAUACUGGAGGUGCUAACUAGGUGCGUGAUGCCUAACUGUGCCCUACAGCUGUGGAGGUGAGUCUGUUGCCACUUCCCACAGUGUCAGGGUCAACCCAGGCUCAGAGCCCAUCCCCCUCCCUGGGCCACCUGCUGACCAUCCUCCCUGCCUGCCGCAGACGGGGUGGAGUCGGAGCUACUGCACACCUACAGCAAGGUGGACCCAUUUGACGUGCUGAUCCUCUGUGUGCGUGUGGCCGUGCUGACGGCAGUCACACUCACAGUGCCGAUCGUUCUGUUUCCGGUGAGCCGGUGGGCAGGUGGACCGACGCAGGGUGGGACUUAUGGAGCUGACAGACUGGUGACUCUUCCCACCCCCAUCCCCCAGGUGCGCCGUGCCAUCCAGCAGAUGCUGUUUAAGAACCAGGAGUUCAGCUGGCUGCGGCACAUACUCAUUGCCAUCGGCCUGCUCACUUGUAUCAACUUGCUGGUUAUCUUCGCUCCCAACAUCCUGGGCAUCUUCGGGGUCAUUGGUGAGGGUCUGGCCCAGCUGUAUAUAGAGGCAGGGCAUUGGCCAGAGAAUUUCCUAUCUAAAUCCUGGCAGAUUCCUGAGAUCAUACCCUACCUUUAGUGACAGCUGCUGGCCAUGUGUACAGCUUGGCUUCCUGUCUGAGAUUUUUGUCCUGAAGGCUAUUCUAAUCCCUUCUGAGGGCUCAAAACCAGAGUCUGUUCCCCCUUGCUGAGGGAUGGGGUGGAGCCCGGAUGCCAGGGACCUCCACAAAGGGUCUCAUUGGGUCUUGUCCCCAUUUCACAUAUGAGGAAACUGAAGUCCAUAGUGAUUAAGGGAGUAGCAGAGCCAUACGGCUGGUAAGUGGGGGGCCUUGAUUUAGCUCUAGGAUCAUGGAACUAUAGGUUCAGUGCUCUGUCCACUGUCUCAUCCCAGUUGGGGCUCUAAGGUAGAAAAUCAGACAAUUCUGAGACAUCUUUGGAGUGGCCCAACUCACAAGACUGACUCCUCAGCCCAACUCUGCAGGGACCAAAACACAGACCUGGGGACUGAUUGUCAUGGAUAGCAUAGACAUGACUAUAGGUUCUCUGUGGCCAAAAUCUGACUCAAAAUGAUUUAAGCAAAGAGGAAGGUAUUGGCUUAAAUAAUGGAAAAGCCUUCAGGAAUAGCUAUAUCUAGGAGCCCGAUAUCUUCAAGGCUUUGUCUUUAUCUUUUGGCUUACCUUUCCUCUUUGCGAGCUUCAUUCACUGACAGAUUCUUCUACUGCCAACAGCACUAGCUUUCUAUCCAGUUGGACAGAGAAUGGGGGGCAGGGGGACUGGUGGGCUCUCCGGAAUCAGGCAGAGCUCUCAAGUAGAGUCUCAAGAUGAGACUUCCCCAGCAAGGAAUCUCUGAUCUCACUGAAGGGUUCACCCCUGGACCUUAGCCAAUAGCUGGCUAUAUCUCAUUCUUUGCAGGUGCCACAUCUGCCCCAUGCCUCAUCUUCAUCUUCCCCGCCAUCUUCUACUUUCGCAUCAUACCCACCGAGAAGGAACCUGCAAAGUCUACCCCCAAAAUCUUGGUGCGAGGAUCCUGGAGGUUGGUGGGCUGGUGUGGGGCUGAGGGAGCUGCCCUGACCUCACACCUGACUCUUGACUCCCUGACCCCAUAGGCCCUUUGUUUCGCUGUGCUUGGCCUCUUGCUGAUGACCAUGAGCUUGAGCUUCAUCAUCAUUGAUUGGGUGUCAGGGACCGGCCGGCAUGGAGGAAGCCACUAGGAAGACCCCCGGCCUGUUCUGUCUACUCGUCCAAGUACCCCUGCCCAGAGUCUUCAGCCCCUGCUCCCAUCCAGUGGCCAGUCAGCAGGGAGAAGAAAGAUGUGGUUAACACUAUGGCAUUUGUCCCCUGCCUCACGUCUUCUCUGUGGAAGGUUUUUGUUACAGCCAGGACCAAGGCCCUUGGACCACUACCUUGCUGGGCUCCCGGGCUACAGGGGCUUCCAGAGUUGGGAGCAGGGUGGGGCUGUGCCCUUGCUCCCUUCCUGUUGCCUCAGAUCCCACUCAGGCCCCUGCCCUCCUUGCACAGAUGCAAACACUGAGGUCCAACAGCUGCCUACACAGUCUGUAGGGCACAUAGAGUUGGAGCCCAAGCCUGCAGCCAUCUCCCCACCUUGCUGCUGGACCUUGGUCUGCACUCUGGGGCCUCAUCUCCCUCAAUGCACUUGCCUUCCUCCACUUCUGUCCCGGAGGCCCCUUUCAGUCACUUGGACUCAAGCGCUUGGAUACUCUCGUCUCCUUCUCCCAUCCCCACCACCAGAAGCAGACCACCCCCCAUACCUGAAGCCAUCAGGUUCUUUUAAAUGUGAGGCUGGUGUGGGCACCCCCAGGGACCUGCCCCUUCACCAGUCCUGGGGAGGCUGGGACUCCCCCCACCCCAAGUCUGGGCCAUAGCUCACAUUCCAUUUCUGGGAGAAGAAAGAGGCUGGGGCCCAGAGCGUCUCUGCCCCUGGGAGCCAAAGACCCCAGGGGCUGAUCCGGGGUAGGAGUGGAGAAGCUGUCAGCUCCCUUUUAUAAAUAUUAUACAUAAUACCAGC
rnacentral:lncRNA from 1 species